UUUUUUUUUUUUUUUUUUUUUUAGUACUACUUACUUUUUUUUUUUUUAUACUGUUUUAUACUUGUUUAUUUUUUAUACUACUUGUUUAUUUUUUAAUAUUAUUUAUUAUUAUUUUUUUGUUUAAUCUUUUAUUUAAUUUAACACUUGCUAUAUUUUAACUUGUUAUAUUUUUUAAAAGGUUUUAUCUAUAUGGAACGGUAGGGGGUGAAAAAAAAAAAAAAAAAAAAAAAGGCAUUAUAAUAGAACCAAUUUCUCAAAAUAUGUUUAUGAUGUUAAAAAAAUUAAUAUUUUCUAAAUAAUAUAAUGUAGAAAAGAAAAAUAGGAAAAAAGAAGAGGUUAUUUUUGAUUUUAUUUCUCUUUUGUUUAUUAACUAACGAUUAAUAUAUUAGAAAAACAAAAUAAGUCACAAUAUUUUAUUUAUAAUAGUAUUUAGUAUAGUGACGCUAUUAUAUAUGUAUUCAAAUUAAUAGAAAAGUGUGUGCACGAAUGCACACAUGAACAUAUAACUGAGUGUAUGUAUAUAUCUAUAUACAAAGUGGUUGUAAAAACAAGAGAACAAAUGCGAAAGUUCAAGCAUAAUUACAAGCAAAACACAUAAGCAAAAACCCGAUGUAAAUUAAAAAAAUGAAAACAAGAGAAGAAAACUUUAUUCUCGCUGAAAAAAUUUUAAAAGAUAUAUAUUCACUGUCCUUAAUUCAAAAUAUUGAUAUAGAUAUUAUCCAAGAAGGAUUACUAAAACAUGUUAUGGAUAAUGAAGAAUCACACAGUGUUGUAUUCGAAGAAGAGAGUCAAAGUAGCGAGAAUGAAUUAGCAAUUUUAAAUGCAUGUUUAAAAUUAGAUAAGGAAAAACAUACAACAAAUAAUCGUGAACUAAGAUGUGUAAAUAUUAACAUAAAAAUAGAUUUACAUGAAAAAAAAGAUUAGUUACUGUUUAGAUAGAUAUAAAAUUCACAAAUGUUAUAGUGAUAAAAUAACAAUUCUUUUGAAUAAUUUAGGUAAAGAAUGUUUAAAUCUUAAAGAAUGUGUAUUAUAUUUAUAUAAUUCAAUUAAUGAUUGUAAUUUAAUGAAAUGUGUUUGUUGGAUUGAUGGUAAAACUGAAGAUGAAUAUAAUAAAAAAGAACAAAAACAUUAUAUUGAAAAAAAA
rnacentral:lncRNA from 1 species